rnacentral:rRNA from 1 species
AGAUUGAACGCUGGCGGUAGGCCUAACACAUGCAAGUCGAGCGCGAAAGUGCCUUCGGGUGCGAGUAGAGCGGCGGACGGGUGCGUAACGCGUAGGAAUCUGCCUGGUAGUGGGGGAUAACUCGGGGAAACUCGAGCUAAUACCGCAUACGCCCAUGGGGGAAAGCGGGGGACCUUCGGGCCUCGCGCUAUCAGGUGAGCCCGCGUCGGAUUAGCUAGUUGGUAGGGUAAUGGCCUACCAAGGCGACGAUCCGUAGCUGGUCUGAGAGGAUGAUCAGCCACACUGGGACUGAGACACGGCCCAGACUCCUACGGGAGGCAGCAGUGGGGAAUAUUGGACAAUGGGGGCAACCUGAUCAGCCAUACCGCGUGUGUGAUGAAGGCCGUUAAGGGUUGUAAAGCUCUUUACCCGAGAUGAUAAUGACAGUA